CGAAAGUUACGCUAAUACCGCAUAUUCUGUGAGCAGGAAAGCAGGGGAUCGCAAGACCUUGCGCUGAUUGAGCGGCCGAUAUCAGAUUAGCUAGUUGGUGAGGUAAAGGCUCACCAAGGCGACGAUCUGUAGCGGGUCUGAGAGGAUGAUCCGCCACACUGGAACUGAGACACGGUCCAGACUCCUACGGGAGGCAGCAGGUGGGUAAUUUUGGACAAUGGGGCAACCCUGAUCCAGCCAUGCCGCGUGAGUGAAGAAGGCCUUCGGGUUGUAAAGCUCUUUCGGCCGGGAAGAAAUCGUAUGGGUUAAUACCCUGUGCGGAUGACGGUACCGGCAUAAGAAGCACCGGCUAACUACGUG
rnacentral:rRNA from 1 species